rnacentral:lncRNA from 1 species
UACAACCAUCGCAGCUCUCGGUUUCGGGGGCUGCCAGGCCUUGUACCGGAACAAGGGGGGCUUGUACCGGUACAAGCACUGCGCAACCGAGAAACCGAGCCUCGGGUUGGGCUGUCUGCCAGGCCUUGUACCGGUACAAGAACCCGUGUACCGAUACAAGGGACCCGAAAAUGUGGAUCUGGUUGGAAAAUUAGUUUUUUUUAUGGGGCUUUGUCACGCCCCGGGACCCAGCGGAAGCCUACCCGGCACGUGCCCAGACCCGCCAUACGUCUAAAACGUAUAAGGCGUCUAAAACAACAAUAAUGAAAGCAAUAAUAAAAGACAUCUAGGAGUAUCAGAGCAUAAUAAAUGUCUAAAUGCUACAACCAAGGAUAAGGAUAAACUGUAAAUCCACUAAAUAAGACAUAAGGUAAAUACAAUAGGAAAUUCCAAAUGCAAGUGCUAAAAGUAGGUACAUAGGUGGUCUCUAUACAUGGAUACAGAAAUCUCUCACUCUCCCAACUACAAAAAAGAAAGAGCAAACCACCUAGGCAAAGAACCGCUCCUCGCUAGUUAGCUAAGCGAUCC